AUUGAACGCUGGCGGCAUGCCUUACACAUGCAAGUCGAACGGCAGCACGGGUGCUUGCACCUGGUGGCGAGUGGCGAACGGGUGAGUAACACAUCGGAACGUACCUUAUCGUGGGGGAUAACGCAGCGAAAGCUGUGCUAAUACCGCAUACGCCCUGAGGGGGAAAGCGGGGGAUCGAAAGACCUCGCGCGAUUAGAGCGGCCGAUGCCUGAUUAGCUUGUUGGUGGGGUAAAAGCCCACCAAGGCGACGAUCAAUAGCUGGUCUGAGAGGACGAUCAGCCACACUGGGACUGAGACACGGCCCAGACUCCUACGGGAGGCAGCAGUGGGGAAUUUUGGACAAUGGGGGCAACCCUGAUCCAGCAAUGCCGCGUGAGUGAAGAAGGCCUUCGGGUUGUAAAGCUCUUUUGUCAGGGAAGAAACACCGGCUCUAACACAGUCCGGGAAUGACGGUACCUGAAGAAUAAGCACCGGCUAACUACGUGCCAGCAGCCGCCGUAA
rnacentral:rRNA from 1 species